ensembl:lncRNA
AUGAAUACGUUGUAUAUUUUAGUAGCUGAUAGUAAAGUACAAUUUAUGACAUAUUUUUAUUUUUUAGAUUUAUUAUAUAAAGUAGGAACGUUUGAUUUUAUAUUUAAUAUGUUUAAUUAUGUAAUGAAUGUUUAUAUAUCUUUAUUAGGGAUUUAUUAUAAAAAAAAAAUGGAACAAAAACAAAAUGUUAAUCACGAUUUUAUUAAUUAUAUACCAAUACAUAUAAGUAAAAAUUAUACUUGUACGAAUACAUAUUUUGUUAGAUAUAUUAUAAGACUUAUGAAAUAUUUUGUCGGUUUUAAUUUGAGCACUAUACAAAUAUAUAUACAAAUUACAGUCAAAGCAAUUAAUACAUUUUUAGAAUUCUUUUUACAUUUAAUGAGUAUAGGAAAAAUUAACUUAUUUUUCUUUUUUUCCAAAAUGAUUCAUCCUUUUACAAGAUUUGAGGUUGGUACAUCAAAUGAAGCGACUUCUAAAGAAUCAAAACAGUCCAAUACUGACAAUAAAUUCCAAAACGGUGAUAUUUCGCAUAACCUAAAUGGUACUGUAAAAACAGAUCCAGAAAAAGGACAAACAACAAAUAGUGACAUAAUGAAAGAAACACAUAGUGGUACUAGUAGUAGUAGUAGUAGUAGUACCCCUUCUGAUAGUAUUAUUCGCAACAAGUCCGAAUGUUAUACUACACCAAUUGCAGAUAAAAUAAAUGGUUUUUCAAAUAUAGAAAAUAAUAAUAAUCAAUGUCACCGUUCCAAAAGUGAUACAUAUAAAUACACAAACCAGUCUCCUACACAUGCAACUGUUGAUAAUAGUAGUGAUAGUAAACCCACAUUUGAUCAAACAAAAGACGAACAAAAUGAUAAAACAAACAAAAAAGAAAACACAUUUUACUAUGAAAAUCAAUUUUUAUUUACUUUGGACGAAUUUGACAUUAUGAACACAAUAAAAUCUGUGAAAAGUGAUAUUUGUAAUAAUAUAUUUUUUUGGUUAACAUAUAUUAAUAGCACUAGUACAAAAAUAAAUAACCUAAGUAAAAAUAAUAUAUAUAUAAAUUUUAACAACAAUAUUAUACACUCGUUUUUAAAAAUUGUAUUAAAAUUUUUAACACCAUCAACUGAUAUGGAACCAAAAUUUCUUGAACUUUUGGAAAAAGAAAAAAGCAAAGAUAAAAAAGGAGUAGGAGGAAAUAAAGAAAAAGAUAAAUAUGAUAUAUUACCAACUAACAAUACUAGUCUUAGUUUACUUAAUGAAUGGAAAUCUUUAGGUUUUGAUCAUGCUCUACUAGAUGAUUGUCUUAAUUAUUCAGGUACAACAAAUCUCAGUUGUACAGUGAAUUAUGUCGAUAAAGAAAAGAUAGAGUUUUUUUCAGAUGCAUAUCAUAGUAGUACUGAUUAUAAAGGAGUAACAAAAGGGAAAAAAUCGAAUGGUUCUAAAAAAUCACAUACUAAUAGUCAAUCAGAUGCUAGUAGUAAUAUAAUUUUUAAUGAAAAUAAUAGUAUUUGUGAUAGAAUAUCAGCACGUACAUGUGCAUUAUGUACUCGUAACAAUAGAAAUGACGAUUCUGAAGAUUUAAGCAGUGCUAGCAGUAUUAGCAGAAAUAGUAAUGUUUACAAUCAUACUGCUCAUGAUUUGUUAAUAAGGUCACAUUCGAAUUCUGCUCACCAUCGCAAUUAUGAUAAUGAUACUCUUCGUAACAAUGAAAGUGAUAAUAGCGACAAUAUUACAACCGUUUGUGAAUGUCAAAACAUCAAUAACAUCAACAUUAACAACAUCAUAAACAUUAAUACAAAUAACAACUCAAAUAACAACUCAAAUAAUAACACAAAUAACAACUCAAAUAAUAACACAAAUAACAACUCAAAUAACAACUCAAAUAACAACUCAAAUAACAACUCAAAUAAUAACACAAAUAAUAACUCAAAUAGUGAAACAAAUAAUAACACAAAUAGUGAAACAAAUAAUAACACAAAUAACAACUCAAAUAGUGAAACAAAGAAGGUAACACGUGAACAAGAAAAAUGUUUAAAGAAGGCAAAAAAUUUUUUUAAGAGAUAUCCUUCAAUGUUUAAAUUGUAUAAAGAAGGGAAAAUAUCAAAUAAAAACCUUAAGUUAUUUUAUUAUGAAAAAAUUAUGGACCCAAGUAACACAAGCGAUAUGAUCAUAUAUAUACAACACUACUUAAAAGGUUUAAGAAAAAGUUUAUUUAAUUCAUAUAAAGAAGAGGUUUGUAUAAAACCAUUUUGGAAUGAAGAUAAAAUUUUAUUAUUUAAACAAUUUAUAUUUAAAUGUAUAUACAAUAUGCUUAUAAAUUUAAUGAUAACUAUUCCAUAUUCUGAAAAAUCAUUUCUUAAUUUAUAUAUAAGUUUCUUAGUUAUAAAUGUUGAUAAAAUUAGUGUUAAAUUAUUUUUAGAUCAGUAUAAAAAAAAUAUUCAUGACAAAAAUAGUAACAAAAGUAGAAUCUUUAAUCAUCAUGAUAUUAAAAUGAUUAUAUUAUAUUAUUUUAUGGAAAAUAUAUCAAAAAAAAUUAAAUCGUUAAAAAAUGAUGAAUAUUUUAAUAAUAUGGAACAACAUUAUUAUUGUCAUCAUGUGUUUAUGCGUAUGUAUAAAAAAAAAAAUAAAAAUGGAAUUACUACAACUGAUGAAAAUAAUAGUAAAAUGAUUAAAAAGGAGUAUAAAAAAUAUGUACAAGCUGGUAUGGCAGGAGUGUCUCAUAUGACUGAUGUCGUAUCUCAUUCACCGGGUUUAACAGGUGGUACUAUAAGUAACAAUAACAUAGGAACUAAUUCUUUACCAAAUGAACAUUCUAAUUUGAUAUUAAACGAAACGAAUAACAUUAAUACUUCUACUAUAACAGAUCAAAAUAACUCAACUAUUGUAUCUAAUAUGCACACAUUAAAUAAUAAUAAUAAUAAUAAUAAUAAUAAUGCUCUCAUAGGUACUAUUAAUAAUGAUAAUGUAUUGAAUGUUUCCCAAAGUAACAAUGUAUCAUGUGAGAGAAGUAUCAACCAAAAUAAGCCUACAAAUAAUAUCUCUGACAAUACUGCAAAUGAUAAUAAAAAUGGACCAUAUAACAUACGCGAAAUAAAAUGCACAAAUGAUACUAAACAAUGUUUGAAUUACAUGAAAGAUAACAUUGAUGUAAUAUACUCAUCUCAAAAAGAAAUGGAAAAAUAUAAUUACCAUUUAUGUUUGUAUAUGCUAUUUUUUAUGUUAUAUUACAUUAUACAUCAAUCGAGUAUAGCUAAAAAUAUAAUUCUUCAUAUAGAUAGAAACAUAUUAGAUUAUUGUUUUUAUUUUAUACAAAAGUUUAACUUAGCACAUGUUAAGCAUAUAGAAAGUAAUGUAAAUUAUUUAUUAAAAAAAGAUGCGGAAGAGAAACAGAUGGAGUCUUGUCAACAAGUUAAACAUGUUGGAAAUGUUGGAAAUGUUGGAAAUGUUGGAAAUGUUGGAAAUGUUGGAAAUGUUGGAAAUGUUGGAGACGUUGGAAAUGUUGGAGACGUUGGAAAUGUUGAUAACGCUUUGAAGUCAAACGAGUUUAACAACCAAAUGGGUCAAACUAUCGACAAUGAAAUUCACAGAGAUAUCACUUCAAAUAAUGACCUCUUUUUGCAAAGCUAUAAUGUGGAAAAAAAUAAAAAAAAAAGAAAACUCAACAAAAUUGAAUCAAAUAAAGGGUAUGAUUUGGUUAACGGUUUAGAAGAACAAGAAAAAGGAGAAGGUGAAAAAGAGGGAGAAGAACCCAAGCAUAAACUGGUGGCAUCUAUAACAUCUAUAGAACCAAUGUCAGAAUCAUUACACCAACAUAUAAACAUAUCCAAUGUUAACACUUUACAAAUAAAAAAUAAUUAUAGUACUCCUAUUCAAAGUGCUCCUAUUCAAAACGCUCCUAUUCAAAGCGCUCCUAUUCAAAAUGGUAAUGACACUUCCAAAUAUAGGUCACCUUUCAACAAAUGCAACUGUAAUAAAAAUAAUGAAAAAAAAAAUAUAUUAUAUAAUAAAGGAUUAGUUAUGAAUAAUAGUAUUAAUGCUCGUAAUAUGUUAAUACCUUAUUGGGAUUUCUUAGAUUCGGAUACUUCAGAACAAAGUCAAAAAAAUGUAAUUAUUAUGAAUGCAAUACCGGAACACGAGGAAUAUAAAAAUAUUUCAUUAUACUCAAAACCUCCUUGUUUUUACGCACCAGUAUUUAUGUGUCUAUUUAAAAUUAUUCUUAGCUAUUCUUUAUAUAAUUUUAAUGAUAAAAAUAAAAAAAUUAUUAAAAAACAGAAAGAAGAUAAAUUUUACUUAGAUGAAGAAAAAAAAGGUAUUACAACGUUGUCAUCUUUAUCUAAUAAUUCCUUUUUUAAAAAUGAAAAAGUGGAUAUUUUACAACAAAAUAAAACCUGUACCUGUGUUGGGAGUGGUAAAACAAAUAAGUUGGGAUUUGUACAUGAUAAAAAAUGUAUAAAUAGUGGCAUUACUAUAAAUGACACAACGUUAUCUGCUACCAAAGCCAACAAAGAGAAUAUUCGUUUUCUUUCAACCGAAAAACAACACAAUUUAAUAAAAUUAUGCAUCGAUACAUUAUAUUUUUUUAAAGGUUAUAAUACUGAAUUGUGUAUCACAAUAUUACAAAUUAUAGAAUACUUAACUACAACAUAUAAUAACGUUGUAUAUUUUUUAUAUUAUUCCCCACCAAAUAUAUAUAGUAAUUUCAAACAAUUUUUUAAAAUGCAAGUAAACCAAAUACAUCAUAAACAAAAAUGUAUAGCUAAUAAUAAGUUUGGGAAAGUGGAUCAACAGUUAGAAAGUGAAAACAUAUCAGACAAUACAGUAGGAGGGAAUGUACAAAAUGUAAAAAUAGAUAGUAGUAAUAGUAGUACUAACCCAUUGAAAUAUAUGAAUGGAUAUACUAAUACAAUGGAUGAUUAUCCCGACUUAAAUGAUAUAAUUCUAAAUAACAUAACCAGAAGCAGUAUUGGUAUUUUACUUACAAUAACAAGACAAGCGAAGUUUAAAGAUAUGUUAAUAAUGAUUAUAAAUAUUUUAAUUCAAUGUUUUACAGAUAAUUAUGUGAUUGCUAGUAAAAUUGAGUAUAGUAUACAAUCCUAUUUUUUACAACAUGGUAUAAAAGUAAAACAUAUUUUAAAAACAAAUGAUUUGAAUUCGAUCAAAAAUCCACACAUUUCAAAUGCGUUAGGUGUAUCUUUAAACGAUUUAAAUGAAGCUUUAUAUCCUUUUAUUUUUAAAAACCCACAACUGUAUGAAGAAAUAUUAACUUCCUUAUGUUUUUUUCCCCAAUUUAAAAUAUGUAAGAACUGA